AUUGAACGCUGGCGGCGUGCUUAACACAUGCAAGUCGAGCGGAGCGGCGAACGGGUGAGUAACGCGUGAGUAACUGCCCCCCUCUCUGGGAUAACAGUUGGAACCGGCUGCUAAUACCGGAUAGUGGGGGAUGACUCGCGUCCUAUCAGCUUGUAGGUGGGGUAGUGGCCUACCAAGGCGACGACGGGUAGCCGGCCUGAGAGGGCGACCGGCCACAUUGGGCUGGGAUCCGGCCAGAGCUCCUACGGGAGGCAGGGGUGAGGAAUAUUGCGCGAUGGGUGAAACCCUGAUGCAGCAACGCCGCGUGCGGGAUGACGGCCUUCGGGUUGUAAACCGCUUUCAGCCAUGACGCGGUAGUGGCAGAAGAAGCACCGGCUAACUACGUGCCAGCAGCCGCGGUAAUUC
rnacentral:rRNA from 1 species